rnacentral:rRNA from 1 species
AACGAACGCUGGCGGCAGGCUUAACACAUGCAAGUCGAGCGCCCCGCAAGGGGAGCGGCAGACGGGUGAGUAACACGUGGGAACAUACCCAUCUCUGCGGAACAACUCCGGGAAACUGGAGCUAAUACCGCAUACGCCCUUCGGGGGAAAGAUUUAUCGGAGAUGGAUUGGCCCGCGUUGGAUUAGCUAGUUGGUGGGGUAAAGGCCUACCAAGGCGACGAUCCAUAGCUGGUCUGAGAGGAUGAUCAGCCACAUUGGGACUGAGACACGGCCCAAACUCCUACGGGAGGCAGCAGUGGGGAAUCUUGGACAAUGAGCGCAAGCCUGAUCCAGCCAUGCCGCGUGAGUGAUGAAGGCCUUAGGGUUGUAAAGCUCUUUCACCGAUGAAGAUAAUGACGGUAGUCGGAGAAGAAGCCCCGGCUAACUUCGUGCCAGCCGCCGCGGUAA